rnacentral:rRNA from 1 species
UACGUAGGGGGCUAGCGUUGUCCGGAAUUAUUGGGCGUAAAGAGCUCGUAGGCGGUCUGUCGCGUCGGUCGUGAAAACUUGGGGCUUAACCCUGAGCUUGCGGUCGAUACGGGCAUGACUGGAGUUCGGCAGGGGAGACUGGAAUUCCUGGUGUAGCGGUGAAAUGCGUAGAUAUCUGGAGGAAUACCGGUGGCGAAGGCGGCAUCCUGGACCGGCAUUGACGCUGAUGAGCGAAAGCUAGGGGAGCAAACGGG